GGCGGCGUGCCUAAUACAUGCAAGUCGAACGAGAAAGUGGCUUCGGCCAUGAGUAAAGUGGCAGACGGGUGAGUAAUACUUAGGUAACCUGCCCUUAAGAUGGGGACAACCUUCCGAAAGGAGGGCUAAUACCGAAUAAGACCACAGUGGUUGCGGCCACAGGGGUUAAAGAUGGCCUCUAUUUAUAAGCUAUCACUUAAGGAUGGGCCUAAGCACCAUUAGCUAGUUGGUAAGGUAAUGGCUUACCAAGGCUUUGAUGGUUAGCUGAUCUGAGAGGUUGAUCAGCCACACUGGAACUGAGACACGGUCCAGACUCCUACGGGAGGCAGCAGUAGGGAAUAUUGCGCAAUGGGGGAAACCCUGACGCAGCGACGCCGCGUGGGUGAUGAAGGCUUUCGGGUCGUAAAGCCCUGUCGAGUGGGACGAAAGACGAUAUGGCUAAUAUCCAUGUCGAGUGACGGUACCACUAAAGGAAGCACCGGCUAACUACGUGCCAGCAGCCGCGGUAAUACGUAGGGUGCAAGCGUUGCUCGGAAUCAUUGGGCGUAAAGAGCGUGUAGGUGGCUAGAUAAGUCAGAUGUGAAAUCCCUCGGCUCAACCGAGGAAGUGCAUUUGAAACUAUCUAGCUCGAGGAUGGCAGAGGAAGGUGGAAUUCCUAGUGUAGAGGUGAAAUUCGUAGAUAUUAGGAGGAAUACCGGUGGCGAAGGCGGCCUUCUGGACCAUUCCUGACACUGAGACGCGAAAGCGUGGGUAGCAAACAGGAUUAGAUACCCUGGUAGUCCACGCUGUAAACGAUGGGUACUAGAUGUUGCGGGAAUUGACCCCCGCAGUGUCGUAG
rnacentral:rRNA from 1 species